rnacentral:rRNA from 1 species
GAAAGACGGUCUUGCUGUCACUUAUAGAUGGAUCCGCGCUGCAUUAGCUAGUUGGUAAGGUAACGGCUUACCAAGGCAACGAUGCAUAGCCGACCUGAGAGGGUGAUCGGCCACACUGGAACUGAGACACGGUCCAGACUCCUACGGGAGGCAGCAGUAGGGAAUCUUCCGCAAUGGGCGAAAGCCUGACGGAGCAACGCCGCGUGAGUGAUGAAGGUCUUCGGAUCGUAAAACUCUGUUAUUAGGGAAGAACAUAUGUGUAAGUAACUGUGCACAUCUUGACGGUACCUAAUCAGAAAGCCACGGCUAACUACGUGCCAGCAGCCGCGGUAAUACGUAGGUGGCAAGCGUUAUCCGGAAUUAUUGGGCGUAAAGCGCGCGUAGGCGGUUUUUUAAGUCUGAUGUGAAAGCCCACGGCUCAACCGUGGAGGGUCAUUGGAAACUGGAAAACUUGAGUGCAGAAGAGGAAAGUGGAAUUCCAUGUGUAGCGGUGAAAUGCGCAGAGAUAUGGAGGAACACCAGUGGCGAAGGCGACUUUCUGGUCUGUAACUGACGCUGAUGUGCGAAAGCGUGGGGAUCAAACAGGAUUAGAUACCCUGGUAGUCCACGCCGUAAACGAUGAGUGCUAAGUGUUAGGGGGUUUCCGCCCCUUAGUGCUGCAGCUAACGCAUUAAGCACUCCGCCUGGGGAGUACGACCGCAAGGUUGAAACUCAAAGGAAUUGACGGGGACCCGCACAAGCGGUGGAGCAUGUGGUUUAAUUCGAAGCAACGCGAAGAACCUUACCAAAUCUUGACAUCCUUUGACAACUCUAGAGAUAGAGCCUUCCCCUUCGGGGGACAAAGUGACAGGUGGUGCAUGGUUGUCGUCAGCUCGUGUCGUGAGAUGUUGGGUUAAGUCCCGCAACGAGCGCAACCCUUAAGCUUAGUUGCCAUCAUUAAGUUGGGCACUCUAAGUUGACUGCCGGUGACAAACCGGAGGAAGGUGGGGAUGACGUCAAAUCAUCAUGCCCCUUAUGAUUUGGGCUACACACGUGCUACAAUGGACAAUACAAAGGGCAGCGAAACCGCGAGGUCAAGCAAAUCCCAUAAAGUUGUUCUCAGUUCGGAUUGUAGUCUGCAACUCGACUACAUGAAGCUGGAAUCGCUAGUAAUCGUAGAUCAGCAUGCUACGGUGAAUACGUUCCCGGGUCUUGUACACACCGCCCGUCACACCACGAGAGUUUGUAACACCCGAAGCCGGUGGAGUAACCUUUUAGGAGCUAGCCGUCGAAGGUGGGACAAAUGAUUGGGGUGAAGUCGUAACAAGGUAGCCGUAUCGGAAGGUGCGGCUGGAUCACCUCCUUUCUAAGGA